GAUGAACGCUGGCGGCGUGCCUAAUACAUGCAAGUCGAGCGAACGGACGAGAAGCUUGCUUCUCUGAUGUUAGCGGCGGACGGGUGAGUAACACGUGGAUAACCUACCUAUAAGACUGGGAUAACUUCGGGAAACCGGAGCUAAUACCGGAUAAUAUUUUGAACCGCAUGGUUCAAAAGUGAAAGACGGUCUUGCUGUCUCUUAUAGAUGGAUCCGCGCUGCAUUAGCUAGUUGGUAAGGUAACGGCUUACCAAGGCAACGAUGCAUAGCCGACCUGAGAGGGUGAGCGGCCACACUGGAACUGAGACACGGUCCAGACUCCUACGGGAGGCAGCAGUAGGGAAUCUUCCGCAAUGGGCGAAAGCCUGACGGAGCAACGCCGCGUGAGUGAUGAAGGUCUUCGGAUCGUAAAACUCUGUUAUUAGGGAAGAACAUAUGUGUAAGUAACUGUGCACAUCUUGACGGUACCUAAUCAGAAAGCCACGGCUAACUACGUG
rnacentral:rRNA from 1 species